AAUGGUUCUCGGGUGACGCACCCCAGAACCAGCGAGGAGGGAGCCUGAUUCCAGGGUGUGUCACCCGAGAACCACC
rfam:Myotis lucifugus cont2.48749, whole genome shotgun sequence.